rnacentral:misc_RNA from 1 species
UAAAUCCAGACCGAUUUUGAGAAGAUACUUCAAUUUGUCAAGGAUCGUAAGCAAAUCAGGGAAACUGAAUACUUUCUUGACGAAACGUCAACAAAAGAAUUUGACAUACAUAAAAGAUCUUGGCAAUACACUAUUGACGAUUCAGUGGAGAUGGAUUCUUUUUACCCUGGUCCUAGUAAACUAUGCAUCUUUUCUACUAUUUGGAGGACUGUGGUGGAUUUUAGCUAUCAAUAGUGGGGACUUUGAUGAGAAUAACACAACACCGUGCGUAGUGAAUACCAGAUCUUUCACAGGUUAUGUUCUUCUGAGUGUAGAAACGAUCACAACUAUUGGUUAUGGAUAUCGCUAUCCCACAGAAUAUUGUGAAGGAGGAACAAUGUUAUUCAUUUUACAGUCUUUAGUUAGUGUAGCUAUCCAGGGUGCUCUAAUUAGCACAGUGUACAUUAAAAUAUCUAAACCGUUUUCCAGUUCAACUUCGUCAAUAUUCAGUAGAGCUGCUGUGAUAAGGAGCAAGUUCCCAAUACCGAGUUUGAAAUGAUCCAAAUGAAAAUUGAACCACAUGGUCUGUGUAUUUUUCCAUUGGAAAUAGAACAUAUCAUAGAUGAAACAAGCCCUUUAUGGACAUUUCGACCUUUAGACUUCCUUCAAUCAAGAUUUGAAAUAAUUGCAGUUGCUGAGGGCAGUUCGUACAUAACAGGACUAGUUUCACAGAAUAGAACAUCCUAUUCGAGUUCAGAUAUACUUUGGGGUCAUCGUUUCAAGCAAUGUGUGGAAUACGAUGAAACAAAAAUGUCUUUUGUAGUUGACUAUGAGAAUUUCAAGAAGACCAUACCAUUCAACACGCCGCUGUGUAGUGCUAAAAAACUAAGAGAUAUUGAAGAACAAAUCAAAAAUAUCAAUGUCAUGUCAAAAAGAUCAAUUUCAAAGAUUA